rnacentral:misc_RNA from 1 species
AAGUCGUAACAAGGUUUCCGUAGGUGAACCUGCGGAAGGAUCAUUACCAAUCUUAGCGGGCCUGAUCUUUAUUGAUCAUGGUCUCGCGAAAUCGUAUUUUAAAACCCCACUCUUAUUAAAUGAAUCAUUUUAUAAUAAUAAAUAAAGAUCACUUUCAACAACGGAUCUCUUGGCUCUC